rnacentral:lncRNA from 1 species
AGGAAUCCGCUGCCAUCCGCAGCCAGAGGCUGUCUGCGUGACCCUCGCCUGGGUCCAGCGAGAAGCGGUUGGGAGGGCCAGGCCGAGGACCUUCGUCCUGAGGAGCCUGUAUACAUAUUGGAAGCAGGUGCUACAAAUGUUUUAUUGAUUAGAGGGAUGUGACCAAAACGCUGCAGGCUACCAAUUUGGACUGAACCUGACAUGUCCACAUGUCCAUCUGACUCAUGAAGAAGAGACGUGGAUGGGGACCCAGCCCGGAUUCUGCACUUCAAGAUGGGCCAUACCCAUGGCAUAUGGAAACUUACAGACUAGGGGUUCAAUGGGAGCUGCAUCUGCCAGCCUACACCACAGCCACAGAAAUGCUGGAUCCUGAACCCACUAAAGCAAGGCCAGGGAUCAAACCCGAGUCCUCAUGGAUACUAGUUGCAUUUGUCACCACUGAGCCACGGUGGGAACUCCCAGAAGCUUUGUUUAAAUCAGAGCCUGCAACAAUUUUUGGUUUCUUUGGCUCCCAGAAAUUGAACUAUCCCCCUAUCUGUUUUAAAGAGAAAAUUGGCACCUCCUGGGCAUCUAUCCAGAGAAAACCAUGACUCGAUACAUGUACUCCAGUGUUCAUUGCAGCACUAUAUACAAUAGCCAAGACAUGGAAACAACUACAUGUCCAUCCACAGAGGAGUGGAUCAAGAAGAUGUGUUACAUACACACAAUGAAAUAUUACUCAGCCAUUAAAAGGAACGAAAUAAUGACAUUUGCUGCAAGAUGGAUGGACCUAGAAAUUAUCAUGCUAAGUGAAGUUAGUCAGGCAAUGAGACACCAGCAUCAAAUGCUAUCACUUACAUGUGGAAUCUAAAAAAAGGACACAAUGAACUUCUCUGCAGAACAGAUACUGACUCAUAGACUCUGAAAAACUUAUGGUUCCUAAUGAGACAGGUUGUGGGGUGGGGGGAUGCACUGAAGGCUUGGGAUGGAGAUGCUAUAAAAUUGGGUUGUGAUGAUUGUUUUACAACUAUAAAUGUAAUAAAAUUCAUU